rnacentral:rRNA from 1 species
UACGUAGGGUGCAAGCGUUAAUCGGAAUUACUGGGCGUAAAGCGUGCGCAGGCGGCUUUGCAAGACAGAUGUGAAAUCCCCGGGCUUAACCUGGGAACUGCAUUUGUGAUUGCAUGGCUGGAGUGCGGCAGAGGGGGAUGGAAUUCCGCGUGUAGCAGUGAAAUGCGUAGAUAUGCGGAGGAACACCGAUGGCGAAGGCAAUCCCCUGGGCCUGCACUGACGCUCAUGCACGAAAGCGUGGGGAGCAAACAGG